AUGACCCUCCCGUGGCUGCCGUUGUGUUGCUUCCUCGUCGAGCCCUUCGCCACCAUCCUUCCGCCUUUGCUCAUCAUUUUGUGUGUCAUCCAUGUUGCUGUGUUCUUCUUCAUGUGUUUUCUCUUCGGCUGUCCUUCGCGUGGUAUCCGUCCUGUUGCUGUCCUGCUCAAGACCCUCCCAUGGUUGCCGUUGUGCUGCGGCGAGCUUCGGGCUCUUGGUGUUGUCUCGGUUCACUUUUGCUCAAUGACGACGCAACGAUGCCUCCCCAACCUGCUAAUCAUCUCGACCGCCCGUGGCGGAUCUCCCAGUCAAGGUUCGUGUUAA
rnacentral:rRNA from 1 species